GAUGAAGAACGCAGCGAAAUGCGAUAAGUAAUGUGAAUUGCAGAAUUCAGUGAAUCAUCGAAUCUUUGAACGCACCUUGCACUCCUUGGUAUUCCGAGGAGUACGCCUGUUCGAGUGUUAUGAAGCUCUCAAAACGCAAUUGGCUUAAAACCUGAUUGUUGUUUUGGAUUUGAACUUUGCCGUGUUAUAACGGCUGGUUUUAAAAGUAUUAGCUGGUACUAGAACGAAUUGGUUCUACUCAACGUGAUAAUUAUCUGAUCAUUGAGGACAUUCCUUUCACGAGGAAUGGCCAUAGUAAAUUCAAUGGACUGCUUCUAAUCUGGCUUUAAUUCUUUAUUGGAUUAACCACUUUUCAAAUCUGACCUCGAAUCAGGUGGGACUACCCGCUGAACUUAAGCAUAUCAAUAAGCGGAGGA
rnacentral:misc_RNA from 1 species